ACCUGGAAGGAGUGGCAGGAUCUGGAUCCUGGUCAGAGGACCCUUCACAGAGAUGUAAUGCUGGAGACCUAUAGCAACCUCAUGUCCUUUGGGCACUGUGGUCCUAAACCUGAAUUGAUUGUGAAGCUGGAGCAAGGUGCAGAACCAUGGAUAAGAGAAGCCUCAGACAAGAAUUUCACAGAUGUCCCAGAAUUGGAGGAUGUGAU